AGAGUUUGAUCCUGGCUCAGGAUGAACGCUAGCGGCAGGCUUAAUACAUGCAAGUCGAGGGGCAGCAGGUCUGUAGCAAUACAGAUGCUGGCGACCGGCAAACGGGUGCGGAACACGUACACAACCUUCCUUUAAGUGGGGGAUAGCCCAGAGAAAUUUGGAUUAAUACCCCUUAAGAUUAUGAGAUGGCAUCAUUUUAUAAUUAAAGCUCCGGCGCUUGGAGAUGGGUGUGCGGCUGAUUAGGUAGUUGGUGAGGGUAACGGCCCACCAAGCCUGCGAUCAGUAACUGGUGUGAGAGCACGACCAGUCACACGGGCACUGAGACACGGGCCCGACUCCUACGGGAGGCAGCAGUAAGGAAUAUUGGUCAAUGGACGCAAGUCUGAACCAGCCAUGCCGCGUGGAGGAUGAAGGUCCUCUGGAUUGUAAACUUCUUUUAUCUGGGAAGAAAUGCAUUUUUUCUAAAGUGUUUGACGGUACCAGAUGAAUAAGCACCGGCUAACUCCGUGCCAGCAGCCGCGGUAAUACGGAGGGUGCAAGCGUUAUCCGGAUUCACUGGGUUUAAAGGGUGCGUAGGUGGGCAGGUAAGUCAGUGGUGAAAUCUCCGGGCUUAACCCGGAAACUGCCAUUGAUACUAUCUGUCUUGAAUACCGUGGAGGUGAGCGGAAUAUGUCAUGUAGCGGUGAAAUGCUUAGAUAUGACAUAGAACACCAAUUGCGAAGGCAGCUCACUACACGAAUAUUGACACUGAGGCACGAAAGCGUGGGGAUCAAACAGGAUUAGAUACCCUAGUAGUCC
rnacentral:rRNA from 1 species